rnacentral:rRNA from 1 species
GUGCCUACGGGGGGCAGCAGUGAGGAAUAUUGGUCAAUGGCCGAGAGGCUGAACCAGCCAAGUCGCGUGAGGGAUGACGGCCCUACGGGUUGUAAACCUCUUUUGUCGGGGAGCAAGACCCGCCACGAGUGGCGGAGCGAGAGUACCCGAAGAAAAAGCAUCGGCUAACUCCGUGCCAGCAGCCGCGGUAAUACGGAGGAUGCGAGCGUUAUCCGGAUUUAUUGGGUUUAAAGGGUGCGCAGGCGGGGGGUCAAGUCAGCGGUAAAAUGUCGGGGCUCAACCCCGGCCGG